rnacentral:lncRNA from 1 species
UUCCCUGAGGAUGAAGAGGAUGCCUCAACUCAACCUUCUUGCUGUGAACUGUUGUGAGCAUGGCAUUAGAGACAUCACACGAAGAAACAUAUGAGGACAGUUCCAGAGCAUGAAGGUUGUCUCAGCUGCAUCCUUGCCAACCUCCUAGUGAGUUAGGGACAUCUCCUGAGGAAAGGAAGGGUGAGGUCAUUAGGCUUUGUGCAAAAGAGCCUCUGUGUCAGGAACAUCUGAGCUGCCGAGGCACCUGGAGUGGUAUCUCUGGUUUGACAGCAUGCAGCUCCACCUUGGACUAGUCACUUGAUGAAACGACACUGUUUUGAAG